CAGCCACAAGGCUUAAGAGGAGGGGUGAGAAAAAGUCGUAUAAAGGCGAGAGAAAAGUCGACAGGGAUCAGUCGAGCGAGUACAUCCGACACGGCAACAACUGCAUUCUUCGUCGUAUUUUCAGGUCGCAAUUACGGUUAACUAUGGCGUCGUGCUGCUAUUGGAUGUUGUAUCGUCGAUGGCUUGGUCGACUACUGGUGUACCGAUGUCUCCUGGAUAAGGCGGAUACCAAACUGCAACGCCGCCGCCUUACUACACAACAAUAUACGCAACGACCAGUACUACACCGAGGUUGCACAGUUUGGUUUACAUUUAAACCACCAAGGAUCCAGAUUAUUACACCACAACUUGUGCUGCUCCCCGAUCUACACUAUCAAAGCGCUAGAGUACUACACCGAGGCUCCUAAGUACUACACCACCAAGGCACCUGAGAUUACGCAACUACAUAUGCUUCUACCUACGACUCCAAAGCUGUCGUAUACUACAAAGGAGCGCCCAAGUACCAUAGAAAUCAGUCGAGUGAGCCGAAUAAAGUUUUCCUUUUCGAAUAAAGUUCGCUUCAAACAGUGAAGACGAAUUCUUUGGAAUUACGUCGAAUUGAAUAGCAAAGAUAACACAUUCGUACGUGUACACCGCGUCGUUAAACUUGACAUUGUUGGUCGGAAAGCCGAACUUGACGAUGGCCGUACCAUCACCUACGACAAGUGCGUUAUUGCCACAGGUGGUAAACGAAAAUCUGUUCCAAUCCCUGAGCGGUGCCCUUAAAGAUCCCCACGAGCACGUAACGCUGUUCCGCCAUAUCGAUGGCGGCAACAUAGGCCGAGUUCUCCCUAAAUAUUUGAGCCAAUGGAAAACGGAGAAGGUGAAAGCGCAAGGUGCUUAUGUGUUGCCUAAAGCCUAAUGUUGAGGGUGCAAUUUUGGAAGACUGCAAGGUCGCAUUGACCUUAAACGAUGGUCAAAAGAUUCAAACUGACUAUGUCGUCGCUGUUGUCGGUUGGGACGAAACAAUGGAUUUGGCUGUCGCUUUCGGUUAGGAAAUAGAUUCUACUUUUGGUGGUUAUCGAGUCAAUACCGAGCUUGAAGCACGAUCGAACGUCUGGUAGGGUGGAGAUGUUACGUUCUUUUGUGAUAUCAAAUUGGGUCGUUGUCGUAUGGAACAUAGCUACCAUGCUGUUGUAUCAGGGCGAUUGGCUGGAGAGAACAACCCCGGCAAAGAAACAUGGAUGAAAUACUGCAGUGCACUGUUAACAAGUGCAUUCUUCGUCGUAUUAUCAGAACGCAAUCGGUUGAUUGUGAUGUCGUGAUGUUGCUGUUUGCCGUGUCGUUGAAGGCUGGGUCGAUCACUGGUGUAUCGAUAUCUCCUGGGUAUGGCGGAUACCAAAGUACCACGCCGCCGCCUUACUACACAACGACAACAUUCGCAAGAACCGGUUACUACAUUAGGCACAAUUACUACAUCACCAAGGCUCCAAAAUAUUACACCGCAGCAAAUGCUGCCCCGAAUUACAUCAUCAAACUUACUACACCGAGGCUCCCAAGUACUACACCACCAAGUCACCGGAGUGCUACACGUAUGUUGCCCCAGCUUGUACACCGAGGCUUCCAAGUAUUACUCGGUUCCUAGCUACUACACCGAGGCUCCAACUUAUUACACCACCAAAGCUGCUGAAUACCACACCGAGCCGCCCAAGUACCACACCAAUAAGGCUCCCAGAGUAUUACACCACAACUUGUGCUUCCUCGACCCACUGCACCGAAGCCCCGAAGUAUUACUCUGCCCCAAACUACACAACUACAACUGAGGCGGCCAAGUAUUACGCAGCCCCGACUAACUACACAGCGGCUACUCCUUCGUACUACGUUGAACCGGAAUACUACACCGAGGCUGCAUUGCUACACCACAACCUACGCUACACCUACUACACACUACACCGAGGCCCCUAUGUACUACACUACCAAGGCACCUGAGUAUUUCAACACUACUUACACGCUGCUCCGACCAGCUACACCGAAGCUCCGAAGUAUUACUCUAUCCCGAGUUACUACACCACCAAGGCACCUGAAUAUUACACCACACCCUACGCUUCUCCCACUUAUUACAGGGACGUUUCUAAAUAGUAAAUACUAGAGUCGAAUUUUCAAUUUUAAUAAUUACGUUCAGAUUUGUCAGUCAUAACUUAAUAAUUACUAGUCAAUGGGAAUUGUUGGUCUUUAAAGAGAAAUAAAUUCUCUUUAACCUGGGUAAUCAUUUUGUACGGCUUCUCUAAAAGCCUUUGACAUUGCGACGUUUUCUGAUUUUUGUUGAAUCUUUCCUAUUUCGCAUGUUGGAGGUGACUAUUGCUCUAGUCGCUCUGCAUUCCGACAUGUUCUAUUGUUGGGACGAACUUCAUUCACAGGGCAAAUUACGAAAGAAACGUACUGUGGUGUUUACUAAAAAAAUUCGAUGUUAACAGCUCUGUUUUUAACUUUAGUUGGCGUAACAAAGGAGUUGGAGAUAGUGUUUGGUGUCUCAUAGAAGUUUAUCUGAAGGGUCUGGAGUUGAUCAGUCACUUGUCUAACUUUUGUAAAACUUCAAGUUGUAAAAAAUAAACAAAUCGUGAUUAAA